rnacentral:lncRNA from 1 species
UCCCCUUCCCCUUCUGCCAUGAUUCUAAGUUUCCUGAGGCCUUCCUAGAAGCCGAGCAGAUGCCAGCAUCAUGCUCCCUGUACGGGCUAUGGAACCAUGGCUGUACCGCAGUUCAGGUCUUUGUGACUCAUCUGGAUGCUGUCGAAGAGACAGAGCUGGACACCGGUUAAAAGUGGCAUUCAAAGCUAUGCCUUUUCCUCUCAGCACUGCUUUAGCUGCAUCCCACAGCAUUUUUUCAGCUUUAAAAUAUUCU